rnacentral:rRNA from 1 species
GAUGAACGCUAUCGGCAGGCUUAAUACAUGCAAGUCGAGGGACAGCACAGGUAGCAAUACUGGGUGGUAACCGGCAAACGGGUGCGGACCACGUACACAACCUUCCUUUAAGUGGGGGACAGCCCAGACAAAUUAGGUUUAUUACCCCGUCAUAUUGUUGAAUGGCACAAUUUGUUUACUAUAGCUACGGCACUUAAUGAUGGGUGUGCGGCUGAUGAGAUAGUUGGCGUGGUAACGGCCCACCAAGUCUACGAUCAGUAGCUUGUGUGAGAGCAUGAUCAGCCGCACGGGCACUGAGACACGUGCCCGACUCCUACGAGAGGCAGCAGUAAGGAAUAAUGGUCAAUGGACGCAAGUCUGAACCAGCCAUGCCGCGUGAAGGAUUAAGGUCCUCUGGAUUGUAAACUUCUUUUAUUUGGGGCGAAAAAGGGUCUUUCUAGACCAACUGACGGUACCAGAUGAAUAAGCACCGGCUAACUCCGUGCCAGCAGCCGCAGUAA